rnacentral:rRNA from 1 species
GAUGAACGCUGGCGGCGUGCUUAACACAUGCAAGUCGAACGAUUAACCCUUCUUCGGAAGGUCAUAAAGUGGCGAACGGGUGAGUAACACGUGACCAACCUGCCUCUCACAUUGGGAUAACUUAGAGAAAUCUAAGCUAAUACCAAAUACUCUUGAUCCGCCGCAUGACGGAUCAAGGAAAGCUUUCGCGGUGAGAGAUGGGGUCGCGGCCCAUUAGGUAGUUGGUGGGGUAGAGGCCUACCAAGCCGAUGAUGGGUAGCCGGGUUGAGAGACCGACCGGCCACAUUGGGACUGAGAUACGGCCCAGACUCCUACGGGAGGCAGCAGUGGGGAAUUUUGCGCAAUGGGCGAAAGCCUGACGCAGCAACGCCGCGUGCGGGAUGACGGCUUUCGGGUUGUAAACCGCUUUCAGUGGGAAAGAUAAUGACGGUACCCACACAAGAAGCUCCGGCUAAAUACGUGCCAGCAGCCGCCGUAAGAC